rnacentral:lncRNA from 1 species
CUUCUGAAUAAAAUAAACUUGUAAGACUAUAGAGUUGAAAUUAAUAUAAACAAUUUCAGUGUUACAACAUUAUACAACCUUAUGCCCUAUUGUGUCAAUCAACUUGUGUAACAAUCAUUACAUUUGGCAUAAAUAUAAAAAAUAAUUAAUAUAUUAAUUGUCAAGGGAUAUACAAGUACCUUGUCCCUUUCCAGUGGCGGAUCAAAAAAGAAAUUUUUAUAAAAGGGGGGAACCACUGAAGGACCCAAAGCAGGCGCGGAUCAAGGGGGGUGAAGUGGGGGUGGGGGUAGGGGAAUGGUUUCCAGGGGUUGGAAACCCCACCCCCCCCCCCCAUUUUUUAGACGAUCAAUGCAUUUUAAUGGGGACAUGUAGUUGGAACCCCCAUUUGUCCUGGGUUAGGAACCCCCCUUUUUAAGAUGGCUGGAUCCGCCCCUGCAAAGGGGGGCCUGCUCCUGUCAUGCUUCAGUAAUUUCCUAUAUAAUCAACCAAAUAUUUUCCACAAAAGGGGGAAAGGGAAUUCACAUAAAGUAAACAUAUUUAUUUUUAUCAAAGCACUUAAUAAUUUUUAAAUAUUUAUCCAUUUUUUGUUUGUUAAGGAAGGACCAUGUCCUCAUUGACAACCAGGUUUAGUGUUCCAUCAUAUGCUGUGAAUGUUUUCAAAUACUAAUAAAUCAAUCCUGAUUGUCAAAGACUGAUAGGUUAACAAUAAUGUCUGUGUUUUUCAUUCUUUUUUCAAUGAUACAAAAAUGGAACAUGGACAAAUAUAUAGAGGAAUAUAUAUUGGAAUUAAUAUUAUCAGCAACAAAUGAAAUGGUGUGACCUUAUAAAAAGAAUUGUAAAAAUAACAUCAAAAUACAAAGGUAAUUUCUGUCACAUUAAAACAAUGUCAAAGUAAAACUAUUGGCAGUAAAAUGUAUAUAUAUUGCAAAACCAAUACUCUAAAAAAACAAUAUACAUUAAAAGUCAACUCUAUAAAAACAUUUAUAACAAUCCAAUAUUUCUUAUGUCCAAGCAAAAAGUAAAUAAAAACAGCAUUAACUGUACCAAUGAUCAUGCACCAGAUGCACAUUUCUAAAAUUGAUGCCUAUUUAGUGAUGCUAGAUGCCAAAAUACUAAAAAAUUCCAAAAAAUCAUAAAAAAAGUUGAAAAAUU